rnacentral:rRNA from 1 species
CCUACGGGGGGCAGCAGUGGGGAAUAUUGCGCAAUGGGCGAAAGCCUGACGCAGCGACGCCGCGUGAGGGAUGAAGGUCUUCGGAUCGUAAACCUCUGUCAGCAGGGAAGAACGGUCACUGUGCUAUUCAGCAGUGAAUUGACGUUACCAGCAAAGGAAGCACCGGCUAACUCCGUGCCAGCAGCCGCGGUAAUACGGAGGGUGCGAGCGUUAAUCGGAAUUACUGGGCGGAAAGCGCUCGUAGGCGGUAUGUCAAGUCAAGGGUGAAAUCCCCGCGCUCAACGUGGGAACUGCCUUUGAUACUGGCAACCUAGAGUGUGUGAGAGGAUGGUGGAAUUCCAGGUGUAGGGGUGAAAUGCGUAGAUAUCUGGAGGAACAUCGGUGGCGAAGGCGGCUAUCUGGAACAUAACUGACGCUGAGGAGCGAAAGCGUGGGUAGCAAACAGGAUUAGAUACCCUUGUAGUC